rnacentral:rRNA from 1 species
GGCCAUCGCUCAACGGAUAAAAGCUACCCCGGGGAUAACAGGCUUAUCUCCCCCAAGAGUUCACAUCGACGGGGAGGUUUGGCACCUCGAUGUCGGCUCAUCGCAUCCUGGGGCUGUAGUCGGUCCCAAGGGUUGGGCUGUUCGCCCAUUAAAGCGGUACGCGAGCUGGGUUCAGAACGUCGUGAGACAGUUCGGUCCCUAUCCGUCGUGGGCGUAGGAAAUUUGAGAGGAGCUGUCCUUAGUACGAGAGGACCGGGAUGGACAUACCUCUGGUGUACCAGUUGUCGUGCCAACGGCAUAGCUGGGUAGCUAUGUGUGGACGGGAUAAGUGCUGAAAGCAUCUAAGCAUGAAGCCCCCCUCAAGAUGAGAUUUCCCAACUUCGGUUAUAAGAUCCCUCAAAGAUGAUGAGGUUAAUAGGUUCGAGGUGGAAGCAUGGUGACAUGUGGAGCUGACGAAUACUAAUCGAUCGAAGACUUAAUCAA